UAUUCCCAACUCUUUGCUAAAUACCGUUACAAACCAAGUCCAAGAGUUUAUGUUCUCACUUUCAACAACUGUCCAUGCAAUGGGGAAUACUUAGUUAUUUUCGUCCUUCCUUAUAGUUUCCAAUAACAUUCGCUUUACUUCCGCCUUGAGAAAGCAUCCAUUCAAACCAAACACCUUCCUGCAACCUUCUACAAACCCUUCUUCAAGCCGGAAAGCCAAACAUAUAUUCAUCUAAAGUACACCGCUUCCCCAGUCAGGUGGGGCUCCAUUUUUAGCAUGAAACACCCUAUAGGAUCUUCCUUCUUAAUUUCAAUCACAUAGCUCCUAAACUCCUAAGUCUCUUGUGCUCGUCUUUCAGGUUGUCGCUUAUCAUGUCUUUUGCCUUUUUGUUAGCCUUGUAUCACUUCAUUUUGCUCAAUAUUGUAACUCAACCACUCUUCUGUUAUAAUUUGACUUAUUUUCGAGUCUUUGUUGAUCCGAAAACUCUAACAAAUCCCUUGAUAUCCAAGAAGUGGUUGCCUGGUUAUUCAUAAUGGUUUUGGGGAAGCUAUGAGCUUCUCCAAGCCUCCUCACCAUAAAAUAUUUAUUUCCUCUGGACCAAGCCGCGUAUAUUGACCACAUACAAUUUGGAUGACAACACACGAUUUUGGUGCGGUGAACCCCUAUCCUAAGACAAUGUAGAUUCGACCCUGCAUAAAUUGCAUGCUUGAUUACUACUUGUUUGAACUGUCUAGGUGAAUGAACUUCAUAUCUAAACUGUAAUUGAGGUAUCUAUGACCACAUCUAGAAUCAUAUAUGGGUUCUCCAUAGUAAGUGUCUUCCACUCCAUAUUCGUUAGAUAUGUCACGCCGUAUAUGGUUUGAAUCUUUAGAUCCCCUGCAGCUUCUCAGCCCCACUCUCACCAUUAGUUACAUCACUGUCAUCCUUAACCACAUGCAACCCCUCAGCUCAACUCUUCCCAUGAUCCAUAUACCAUAUCCCAUCUACUGCACUAUACUUGGCAUGUCGAAUCCCAAGAUAUUGGAGCUCAAAUAAACCCAUUAAAUUGGUAAGAAGGAAUAAGGUCUUUGAAGUCCAACCAACAUAAGUGGGUUCUGGACCACUAAAAUACAUAACACCACCACUAAACAAGCGGAUUUCAAUGGUGGCAGCCAUGCUGCAAAGGAGACCAAGAAAGCACAUCAAUUCAUUUGAUCAACCAAGUUCAUCUAUGAACGAAGUAAAAAAGGUACAAUUAUGUAGGAUCACCAAGUUUAAGCUACCAACCACACAAACAAAACCUCACACAUGCAAGCUACCAACCACAAACUGCCAAUUCUACCGUGAAUGUCAAAAUAUGCCACAACACAGCCCUUUCCACUGUCACUGUUUUACUAAAGCUGCUAAAAAGUAUUCGAUUAGGAUAGUUACUUCACCUUAUGGUCCCAAGAAGAUUGAAACCCGAUAUAUUUAUUCACCCCACCGCACAAAACUCCUUCUGGCACUCCCUUCUAACAACGCCGCUAGAAACCCUCUUUCUACAGAAUCCUAGACAAUGCCAACAAAAAACAUGACUCCUCUUUCUCCACAACGCAAAAGAAUGAUGGACAUAAACAACAAACACUCAUCCUUAAAAACCCUAAAUUACAAGAGAUGUUGGUUGUCAUUGUGUCACCGGAUACAACCUUGGUGUUACAAUGGAAAUCGCAAUGAAUCGAGCUAUGGGAAGUCGAUUUGAAGUUUGAGUGAGAGAAGAGGAAUGUAAAGUGACGAUCGAGUUUGCAGUAUGGGAUAAGGAAACCAAUUUUUAACCACAUCUUUCUUAUCUUCUCGUUUUUUAACUUGUUAGUCCAUGUGGCAAUUACUUAAUGACUGGAUUGUCCACAUGGGUCAUAUUUUCUGACUGGACACCUUUCAAACCGCACACAACACGUUCACUACCGUCAAAACUAACUAACGACAUAGACGGAGAAUGGGAUGGAGGACGUAGAUUCUGGUUUUAAAAUAAUUCAUACUAGAUUUGUUAAAGUUUAAAAUGUUUCAGCUAAAUUUGGGUAUUUGGAUGUAACAAGCUGAAGAGUCGGUACCAAGAAGCAGUUCACAAAAUAAGAGCAACACAAUUUGACAGCGUAUUACAAAAUCUAAACCUCCAUUGAUAAAAAAACCAGCAUGAAAUUAAUACUUUUGUAUCAAUUAAAACUAUGUAGUCAACAAAAAAGAUACUAACUCACUUAUAGAGACUGUAAUCGUCAAAACUAUCUUCAAGCUGCGAACGAACACAUCGAAGGACUAAGAUAUUGAGGGAGUGACCGCAAUGUGAGACAAUUGACUGCGAGAAUGAAGUUGUCAC
rnacentral:lncRNA from 1 species